CCUACGGGAGGCAGCAGUGAGGAAUAUUGGUCAAUGGCCGUAAGGCUGAACCAGCCAAGUCGCGUGAAGGAAGAAGGAUCUAUGGUUUGUAAACUUCUUUUAUAGGGGAAUAAAGGUAUCCACGUGUGGCUAUUUGCAUGUACCCUAUGAAUAAGCAUCGGCUAACUCCGUGCCAGCAGCCGCGGUAAUACGGAGGAUGCGAGCGUUAUCCGGUUUUAUUGGGUUUAAAGGGUGCGUAGGUUGUUUUUUAAGUCAGCGGUGAAAGUUUGUGGCUCAACCAUAAAAUUGCCGUUGAAACUGGAAGACUUGAGUGUGUUUGAGGUAGGCGGAAUGCGUGGUGUAGCGGUGAAAUGCAUAGAUAUCACGCAGAACUCCGAUUGCGAAGGCAGCUUACUAAGCCAUAACUGACACUGAAGCACGAAAGCGUGGGGAUCAAACAGGAUUAGAUACCCUGGCAGUC
rnacentral:rRNA from 1 species